UGCCUCUCCCACCUGGCUGCCGCGCCUUUGAACAGCUCAUUUCCUCCUCUUUGCUACAAGUCUUCCUCGCUAGGCAGGAUCGGUCUGCUUUUUUCUCUUUUUUUUUUUCCCCAAAGAGAAAUGCAAGCGGAGAAAAAACUGACGGAAGGGUAGGGAACACGGACUGACACUUUAGGGGAGGCGCUGAAGAAACAUCACCUUCCUGCGACUUAAGCAGCUGUUGGAGUCAGGGCUACAAGACCCGUGCACCAUCACUACGGGGCUGCUCGCUGCUGCCUUCCGCUCUUCUCACCGUCUCUCUCCAUCCCUUGAGCGCCCGAGCUCUCUCCCAGCCGCUUGCCGGCCUCCAGCGCACAGGUGUACUCGCUGCGGCCGCCCCCCUGCCUCCGACCUCCUUCCUGGGUCCCACACCCCUCAUUCCCACAAAUCCUUCUUUUCAAAACCUUCGUGUUCCCCAAGGAAGCUCCCACUUGUGUGCCUGUUUCCCGCCUCCAGGCCGCCCCGGAGGUCACCCCCUCCCGCACGCCGCUACCCCGCGGCAGGAAGGCCAGGGCGGGCCGCUCGCAGCCGUGCCCCAGAGACCUGGGCACCGUCACCAGUCUAGGCAAAGAGGCGGCACGGCGUGAAGAUGAAGAUAGAAAUGGUGCCCCCGCAGUGCUUAAGCGUGGCCGCGGGGAUUUUGGCACGGUGGCGGGGACGAGGCCCCCUCCCUCCCUCCCUGUUCUCUCGCUGCCGAGUCUGCCUCCCCGCCCGCCUCCGGCAGAGAGAUGCUGCUGCAGGCGGGUGGGUGGGCGCUCCCUCCCUGCGUCAGGAGGUGCGGCUCCCCCGGCCCGGCGCUGCCCUCCCCUUUCCUCUCCCCCCGCCGCUUUUAUGUCUGUCUUUAAACGCCGCCGCAGUGAGGGUUGGGCACAUGUGGCUGCCACCGCCUGCCCGCCGCUGAGCCCCGCGCCCGCACGGCCCCGCUCGCCAUCCGCGCCCGCGGGGGCACCCGGCCCCCCCUCUCCGCAGCUGGCGCCCGGCGGGCGGAGUGUUGGAGCGAACUGGAAUUUCUUCGCAAGGCAUUGCUUUUGUUGUGGAAGUAAAUGAGAUGAUUGUAAUAUGUCUGCACAGUCACACUGACCUGGCACGCAUGAGAGCUGUGAUGGAUUUCAAACAUUUAAGUAAAUUACACUUUCUUUUACUUGUUAAAGACCACAUUAUCAUCAACUAUUUUAUUUUCCCUGUGAUACUGCUACGUAACAAGCUUACUGCUGUAGUGUUAUUUUCUAAGAUAAGCCUAAUAAUUUUUAAAUAGUAUGUUACCAUCUGUGUGUCACUGUGGCAUACCAUAGGAUAUGGACCCAAUUUUCUCCCUACAAAGAAAAGCGUAAAUAUAGUAAAGGUUUUGUUAUCUGAUGUCAUAUAAAUGUACGCUGGAUGUCUUACACAGGCAGCUUUCUCCAUCUGUUUAAAAACCGAUGGCAACAUAAUCGGUUUCUUUCUAUUUAGUAGUAUAUUUCCCAUUAUCAGCAUCACAUUAGAAAGGAAACUAUGAAAAAUAAUUAGGAAAGAUUGCUUAAUUUCGUUUUGGCUAAUAUACAAGUUUUUUGUCUACCCACACCCCAUAUUAAGAUAACCAUAGAAUCACAGCCUUCAUGCAGUGCGUAUCAGACACUCCCUUUGGGAUCAGCUCUGCACUUCUGAUUCAAGAAGAAAAAAUCCCAUUGGUUUUGACCUGUGCAUGAAAGAACCAAACCAUUUCAUAGCUGUUCAGAUGUAUCACCAGUACAGAAAACUGGGUGUGUGAAACUGCCAAGGCAUCUCAAAACUAGUUUUGUAGCAUAAUCUUUUUCCUGUUGACCUUUCAUGUCUUGUCAUUCUUACAGUUGUCUUUUUUCCAUACUGCAAAAACCCGUGCGCACAAAAAUUUUCACAUGCUGAAUUAGUCAGAAAAUCACGGAUUAUUCAGAAACACAAUCUACUCAUGGCAGCUCUUCUUUUUGAUUUAGAUUACAUUGUUAAGGAAUAGUCACUGCUCAAGUAGUAUGGGAUUACCACUUGAAGUAUUUGUGUUAGAAUCUUUUUGGGAAGAUUUUUUUUGGUAAUU
rnacentral:lncRNA from 1 species